CCGCCUAGCGCCCGCCUAGGCCAUUUAUUCCGUAAUAUUAACAAUAUGAGUGAGUGUGUUCAAGGAUUUAACUUGUAAAGAAGAUUUCUGAACAACAACAGAUAACCCAGAGAAGUUUCAUGGAGUUAUCACAAUGGUGGCUCUUGGCCAACACUGCUGUGGUUGCUUACUGCAGCAUGUAUCAAGACGGGGAGGCCUCAGACUGCUAAGAGAGCAAUUGAACAGGUGGAGCAGCGGCUCUCAAAAGACGGGUGGCCAGAAUACUAUGACGGCAAGGCAGGGAGAUAUAUCGGGAAGCAAGCGAGGAAGUACCAGACCUGGAGCAUCUCAGGAUAUCUGGUAGCUAAACUGAUGAUCGAGAACCCAGCCAAUCUUUCAGUAAUCCCUUUUGAAGAGGACAAGAAGAUAGCCAAGCCAAGGCUCACACGCUCCGCUUCCUUUUGAGUCAAACCAGUGGCAGCAGCAUACAUGAUGCAUUACAGGAAAUUUGUUGAAGUUGAUAUGAGGAAGUUCACAUUACUAGCAAAGGGUAGCUACGUCCUCAUCAUCACCAUCUUCCUCACACCCAUCUUGGACGUCUCCUCAUGUUUUACUUAGUGAUGCAAGGAGUUCAAUACAUCAAGGAGUUUUGUAAUUGUGAACUUUUGUUCUUUAUACUAUCCUGUUCUAUUUUGUUGUGCAUAAUGGAUGAACUCAAUAUUUUUCAGAGAGGAACAAUUAAGAGAUAAAGCUGUGAAGCAUUUAAGGUAUAUACAUUAC